GACGAACCGUGCAAACGUUGUUCGGAAUCACUGGGCUUAAAGGGCGCGUAGGCGGGCAGGCAAGUCGAAGGUGAAAUCCCACGGCUCAACCGUGGAAGUGCCCCCGAUACUGCCUGUCUCGAGGGAGAUAGGGGCGUGCGGAACUUCCGGUGGAGCGGUGAAAUGCGUAGAUAUCGGAAGGAACACCGGUGGCGAAAGCGGCGCGCUGGAUCUCUUCUGACGCUGAUGCGCGAAAGCCAGGGGAGCAAAGCGGG
rnacentral:rRNA from 1 species